CCGCCUAAAGAGAAGCUUGCGGCUGAUUAGCUUGUUGGUAAGGUAAUGGCUUACCAAGGCGACGAUCAGUAUCUGGUUUGAGAGGACGAUCAGACACACUGGAACUGAGACACGGUCCAGACUCCUACGGGAGGCAGCAGUGGGGAAUUUUCCGCAAUGGGCGAAAGCCUGACGGAGCAAUACCGCGUGAGGGAUGAAUGCCUAUGGGUUGUAAACCUCUUUUUUCAGGGAGGAACAAAAUGACGUGUACCUGAAGAAUAAGCAUCGGCUAACUCCGUGCCAGCAGCCGCGGUAAGACGGAGGAUGCAAGUGUUAUCCGGAAUCACUGGGCGUAAAGCGUCUGUAGGUGGUUUAAUAAGUCAACUGUUAAAUCUUGAGGCUCAACCUCGAAACCGCAGUCGAAACUAUUAGACUAGAGUAUAGUAGGGGUAAAGGGAAUUUCCAGUGGAGCGGUGAAAUGCGUAGAGAUUGGAAAGAACA
rnacentral:rRNA from 1 species